rnacentral:rRNA from 1 species
UACGGAGGGAGCUAGCGUUGUUCGGAAUUACUGGGCGUAAAGCGCACGUAGGCGGCUUUUAAGUCAGGGGUGAAAUCCCGGGGCUCAACCCCGGAACUGCCCUUGAAACUGGAGAGCUAGAAUCUUGGAGAGGCGAGUGGAAUCCGAGUGUAGAGGUGAAAUUCGUAGAUAUUCGGAAGAACACCAGUGGCGAAGGCGACUCGCUGGACAAGUAUUGACGCUGAGGUGCGAAAGCGUGGGGAGCAACAGGG